UAUCUUUGUGCUCUGAGUUGAGGGAAGGCGGCCUCAUGGGUUCAAUUGCAGAAGGUGCUUUCUCAGUUGUAUGGCACCGCCUGGCCGCUUCAGACUAAAACUUGCAGCGUUGGUUUGGAGGAUCAGCCACUCUCCGUCGUGUCUCCAGUGGAUCUCUAGCCGUGCUUCAAUAGUUUGUUUCUCUGUGG